ACAGGUACGCCCGCUAAGGUAGCUCCUGCCACCCCUUCUGGUCACAAUGCAGCUCGGAGCUGGCCUCUUGGUCGUUGGACAGCUGUGUGGAAAUCAUCAGUGAUGUGGGAAGUCCCUCAGAACUGGGAAUUCUGGCAGGUGAGGCCAUUGAAACCACAGGACUUUCUGAACUGGGAUGUCAGCACCAUGGAGCUGCAGAUGC